CUUGAUUUCAUGGGUCUCAGGGAAGCGAGGGUAGUGGGAGCUAAAAUGAGCUUCUGGACAUCUAUCCAUUAUUCCGUUCUUCUUGCAAUAUGGCAACCAUUGUUUUGCAAACUUAGCAGCUUCCAUGAAAGCAAACAGUGGAUCCGCCGUGCAUAUGAACACAUCCAUGGCCGGAUAUUUGGUCUCAUCCUUUGGGAGGUUUUCAGGGAAGGUUCUCCGGUGAACCGGAUUCAUUCUAAAGCCUUGGUGAGUGAACCACAUAAAAGCUAAGACGAUAUCAGCCACUAACAUGAGUACAGAGACGGUGGUGUUGGUGGUGUGGAAGAGGAUGGUGGUUUGGUGAUAAAGAAUGGCUACGAUGUUGCAUGCGUAUAUCAGUGCAAAUAUACGAUUGGGCCAUGUGCGACGGCAGGUCAACCGUGUGUGAAGUGGAGGGGGGUGGUUUUGCAUGGUGGUUCUUUGGCUUCCGGUGGCGCUCCGGCUACGUACCCAAUAUUAAUUACUUGAUUUUGAUUUGAUUGUAUAGGUUCUUUAAAUAUCGAAAUGUCAUCCUACUUAUAUUAAUUUAAAAUUGAGACCAAUAGGAAGAUAUUUUUACUUUAUAAUGAACUACGAUGUAAUAUGUAAGUUUUAGCAAAUGAGUUGCAUAGUUCAUACUAACAACUAUGCUGUUAUUUAAUACAUAAAUGUUUUAACCA